UGGGUUGUGGCUCAGUGGUACAGCACUUGCCUAGCAUGUGUGAGGCACUGGGUUCGAUUCUCAGCACCUUAU
rnacentral:tRNA from 1 species